CGGCUGCCUGCGCCGGACUGGAGAGCGCGGAGGGCCGACCUGACCCGCCGAAAGGGCCUGAGGCGAGGGGAGCCCGGGUCCCGGGGCCUUGGGGAAGGACCCGCAGCCGCACGCCGGCCCCAAGUGCAAAGCAUUGACACGACCCCGAGCGGAGAGGGGGCGCCCUCCUUCUCCCGCGCCCAGAGGCCCGGCCGCUCUGGCCCGAGCCCCAGCCUGGCCUCCGACCCAGCUCCGGGUCGUGGCGCCGCCUGGGGGUCCCUGCGCCCCGGAAAGAGACAGCAGGCACUGGAAAGCGAGGCCGGUGGGCGGGCGAGUCGGGAGGCUCGGGCGGCCGAGGUCCGGGAGCGGAUCCCAGGUGGCGGGAGCUGUUGCCACGCUGGCUCCCACCGGCCUCUUUCCAGAUCAUGAAGGUAUUUUUCCUUCAUCAAAUUGAGAGGAAGUCCGUAGUAAAGCUGCCCGUUGACCAGGUAGUGCCGAGAGAAUCGGUAGGUCACAUGGAUUCCUAAAGGUCCCCUGAUCAGCCACAGUUUGAUUCAUGUUCUGAUGCCCUCCCAGAUGAUGCCACCAUUAGGUCUGCUGGGGCUGGGGGUGAGUCCCAGAUUGCCCUGGAUGUUAUCUGUAGAGGAUAGGAAGCGGCUGCUCUGGGGCCAGUGGCCAGUAAGGUCCCCAACCCUGGGGCCCAGCUCUCCCUUCCAGCUGAUUACAGGCUAUGGCAGGCUCCAUAACCUCCCCAAUUAGCCGGAGGCCAGGCCCAAGGCCUUUCUGAUAACCUGAGCUCCAGUGGCAGCCGCUGUGGGGCCAGCUUAUCUGGUCUCUCUUAUCCUCACCCUUCCCCCACAUACUCAAAGAGUUGCCCUGACUUCAAGCAGAUGAAUAACCAGAUUGUCCUGCAAGCUCAGCCGGCAAGUCCAGCCCUACACCCACCACUUUCCCUGCCUGGGGGAGGCCACAGCUGUUUUGCCCCUGCUGGAGGGGAAGGGCCGGGCCAGGGAGGACUCCUGACUCUGUAAGCUGCCAGCCAGUUCCCUGAAUGGUUGAGAGAGCCCCUGGCAGCAAGGUCUCUGCCACAUCCACGUGUCCUGGGGUGGUUUCAGAGGGGCUCAUGCUUCCUAGGGCAGCUGAACCCAUCCCCAGGAAGACAGGCCAUGGGCAGCAUGCACAGGUGCCCUGGCAGGAGGGACUGGCUUAUGCCACCCUGUGCAGGAUCGUCUUCUCAGCUUACAGAGCCUAGUGUGAUUCAACAACCCUCCAUCUCUGCCCCCAACAUGCCCAACUGAUCUGGUGGAGGGAACUGAAGAUGAAGGCCUCUCAGGCACCAUGGAUGGGAUGGGUGUGUGUGAAGGGGGCAGGGUCCCCAGGAGCUGCCCCAGGUCUGGCUGGACAGUUGCACGGGAAGUCCUGUUUGUGAACUCAACGUUUCCACGGCUUUUCCAUUAAACUUUACCCCAAAUCACACCUGGCUCUGUGGGUUUCCUUCCAUUCUCCAAGGCCUCCCUGGGGUCUCUGGGAAGUGUGGGCCAGGGAAGGGGGCAAAGGACUAGCAUUCGUCUCCUUCCUGCUCAAUGCACCAUUUUUUCUCCCUGUUCCUGUCUCUGUUGCCACUUAC
rnacentral:lncRNA from 1 species